rnacentral:rRNA from 1 species
UAUUGGUCAAUGGACGCGAGUCUGAACCAGCCAAGUAGCGUGAAGGAGGACUGCCCUAUGGGUUGUAAACUUCUUUUAUAUGGGAAUAAAGUUUUCCACGUGUGGAAUUUUGUAUGUACCAUAUGAAUAAGGAUCGGCUAACUCCGUGCCAGCAGCCGCGGUAAUACGGAGGAUCCGAGCGUUAUCCGGAUUUAUUGGGUUUAAAGGGAGCGUAGGUGGACAGUUAAGUCAGUUGUGAAAGUUUGCGGCUCAACCAUAAAAUUGCCGUUGAAACUGGUUGACUUGAGUAUAUUUGAGGUAGGCGGAAUUCGUGGUGUAGCGGUGAAAUGCUUAGAUAUCACGAAGAACUCCGAUUGCGAAGGCAGCUCACUGGACUGUUGCCUGACACUGAGGCUCGAAAGUGUGGGUAUCAAA